GUUGUCAAGUAGAAGCCAUCCGCUUCUCACCUUACGGCUAAAGUCGGUAAGGUAUCUUCUGGGCUUGGGCUAAAUAUGUGCUCAUGAUUGUUUAGAAGACGGGUGGUAUACAUCCGUCUUUUUCUAUUGGC
rfam:Desulfosporosinus acidiphilus SJ4, complete genome.